rnacentral:rRNA from 1 species
AGUGAACGCUGGCGGUAGGCCUAACACAUGCAAGUCGAACGGCAGCACAGUAAGAGCUUGCUCUUACGGGUGGCGAGUGGCGGACGGGUGAGGAAUACAUCGGAAUCUACUUUUUCGUGGGGGAUAACGUAGGGAAAUUUACGCUAAUACCGCAUACGACCUACGGGUGAAAGCAGGGGAUCUUCGGACCUUGCGCGAUUGAAUGAGCCGAUGUCGGAUUAGCUAGUUGGCGGGGUAAAGGCCCACCAAGGCGACGAUCCGUAGCUGGUCUGAGAGGAUGAUCAGCCACACUGGAACUGAGACACGGUCAAGACUCCUACGGGAGGCAGCAGUGGGGAAUAUUGGACAAUGGGCGCAAGCCUGAUCCAGCCAUACCGCGUGGGUGAAGAAGGCAUUCGGGUUGUAAAGCCCUUUUGUUGGGAAAGAAAAGCAGCAGGUUAAUACCCCGCUGUUCUGACGGUACCCAAAGAAUAAGCACCGGCUAACUUCGUG